CACUACUUAUUUCAUAUGAGCGUUACACUCGUCAGACAACUCCGGACAUUUCAACAGAAGCAUUCAGAGUUCAGAUUGUCGCUCGUUGUAAUCAGACUAUCGGCACAGGAAUCAAGGUGACUUCAGUUUAUCUCAGAUAACCCGGAAGUUGUUUCACGUUCAAGCUACGAUCCAUUGACAGCUACUCGACCGCUGUGUUCAAACACCUGGUGUAACCACAAUCAGGUUUAUCAGAGAGCUGAACUUGUCGUCACAACGAUCUCGAAUUACACAUAAAAUCAUUGUAUUAAAGUCUUGAUAUAUGUGUCUAAUUUCAUAUAUUUAUAUGAAGCUCUUGAACUACAAUGUAUUGCAGUGUUGGCUUAAAUUAGUAAAUAGUACUUAGUAGUUGAAUCGUUGAAAACAAAAAUGAAUGAUUAAACAUUCUGAAAUAUACAUUUAAAUAAAACCUGUUUUUAUAUGAACCUAGAAAGCUUUGUUAAUAGGUGUUCAGUUCUUUCCGUUAACCUUUCAUUGUUCAGACUGUUGAGUGAGGAUAUCUUUAAAUUAAUGAUCGGUUAUUGAUAUUUGUUUUCUUUCGUAAAGAAUUGUGUUGUUAAAUGGCAAGGUUGUUGGUAAGCAUAUUUUUAGGCUCUGUAUUAACAAAAAGUGUAUCGCUAAAUAAUGUAAUCAUCUCAUGUUAUGAUUAUUUAUCGUGUUUUUAUGAUGUUUACUAUCAAAUACAAAUGACGUUAUGUUUAUAUCUACCUAUAACAUUAUAUAUUCCACCUCUAGACUAUAUAUCUUUUCUUCCCCAAAUCCAAUACAUUUCACCUCAGAUGUUAAUCUUCUUUUUCUUGUAACUUACAGCUUUGUCGACUGAAUUAAUAUACAGAAUGCGUUGCUUUGGGCAGAUUGGUGAUACAUGUAAUAUGUUCCCAUGAAUGCUAUUUUGUUUUUUACAGUGUCCCUUGAGGAUGCUGCACAGAAAUUCAAGGAAACCAUGGUUACAUUAUAUGACAACCGUAAGCAGUACUUCUGUCUGAUUGAAACUAUCACGGUAAGCCUCGGUAUAACAUUCAUAGUGCACUGGAGUUUCUUCUACAACAUGUAAUGGAGUCCCUGGUCUACCUCGACAGGAAGAUCUGGUUGGCUGAUAACGGUUGCCAUGGAAACAUAGUUAUCGUGUUUGAUGAGGUUAUUUUGCCGAGGAACCUUUCUCUCAUUGCUAUAAAACCAGAUGGACACCAAACAAAAAACCUCACAGAUACUGGUUUAUUGAUUGCAUCGGCAUAUUAUUAUGGUGUGGACUUUUUGAUCUGACAUUUGUCUUGUAAAAAUAAACAAUAAGUAGUACCUGUAUGAUAUGAAAAGUUUACUAAACGUCUGAAGCAAUAUUUACGUUUUCCCAGACACUUUAAAUGUACUUUUCAUCCAAGCUGUAAUAGCUAGGAAAAUCAUAUGGUAAUUAUUUAAAUAUAUCAUGAGAUACUAUUAGAGAUACUUUUAAAUGGACCAUAUUGACUAACGCGCACUAUUUCGAUUAAAAGAUUGUUGCAUGUGCCACUCAACCUCUGUAUGAUUUUGACUUUACCACGUUAUUUACGAAUCUAGUGUGUGAUGUUUCAACUGGGCCGGCUAGCUCUGUUGGUUGAACGCUGGACCACAUAUUUGGAAAUUUCGUUAUCGAUUUCCAACCCGAUGUUUUGUGAUUGGCUUUGUAAUUUUGUAUACGUUCAUUCUUACUACAAAUUAAUGUUUGUCCCAAACCUCUCAACAAUAUGGUUAGGAAGAUGUUCAUUUAUGUACAAAAUACGCUUGGGUCUCCACCUAGGAAUGGUAAAUACCAACGAUAGAGAAUCUGCCACUAGCCAAAAUUAAUAAACGCACGCGAGAUAGUAAAACACAUUUUGCAAGUGCUUUUAGCAUUGCAAUUUAAAUUUAAGAGAU